rnacentral:rRNA from 1 species
CCCUUAGAUGUUCUGGGCUGCACGCGCGCUACACUGAUGCGCUCAACGAGUUUAUGACCUUGCCUGGAAAGGUUGGGUAAUCUUAUUAAAACGCAUCGUGAUGGGGAUAGAUUAUUGCAAUUAUUAAUCUUCAACGAGGAAUUCCUAGUAAGCGCGAGUCAUCAGCUCGUGCUGAUUACGUCCCUGCCCUUUGUACACACCGCCCGCCGCACCUACCGAUUGAAUGGUCCGGUGAAAUCUCGGGACGGCGGCUUGGUCGCUUGCGUCCGACUGCUGAAACUUGAUUAAACCAUAUCAUUUAGAGGAAGGUGAAGUCGUANCA